ACUCCGCCCCCCGUUUGCUCCAAGCGAGCGGCGGCAGUCUUUCAUUUUGCACCCCCCCCCCGCAGAGAUCGGAGGAGCAAUUUCCCGUGCCAUCUGCACUUUCCCCCAGCGGAUGAGGGGGUCUCUCCCGGUGCCCCAAGAGCUCCGUCGGUUUUACACCGAGCUGCCGACCGUAAGCGGAGCCGAAUCGCGGCGUGCCAAACACUGCAGGUGAGACAUCUGAAGGGAUGUGGGGGGUCGGCCGUUUGGUGGGGCUCCCCGUUAUGCAGCUGUGGGCUAAUUUGUCUUGAUGGGACACUAAUAGAAGGGCUUGUGUACACGGGGAUCGCUGGACUGCCAUCUGGACUGCAUUACCCUUUGAAUCUUAUGUAAUUGCACUGUGUGCCUCUGACUAGCACGCAUGUGGACAUAUUUCUUUCCCCAGUUUACAGACGCUGUAGACUUGCUUCUUUUUACCAUGAAUAUCUAAGCCGCCCUUUUUGUCCCCGCCUUAUGUCUCCUUGACGACCCACACAUUUUCCCAGAUUCGAAAUAAAACCCAUGAUUUAUUAUUUCAUAUGCUGGGGCGUCUGUAUCAAGUUCCUCUUGAUACAGCCAACAGCGGUCAUGCUGCCUUCUGCACAGAGCAUAAAUCCCGCAGGCUUGCCCCCCCACUCCCCCCCCCAUUCUCAAAGCAAUUAUGUAUUUUCUUUCAUUACUCAGUUCAGAGCUACUUCUAUUUAAACAGCAUCGAUGAGACGCUCCCUGUGACCCAGUACUAGAUGAGAUGAUAUUGUAUCCAUCAGCAGCUGCAGGACAGUUUACUCAUGGAGGGUGGGGGGUCGAGAAAGCAACCAAGCCAGAGCGUUGCUUUUGUGUCUUAAUCGUUUUUAAUUUUAUUUUUUCAUUAGUAUAAUAAUUAAUGCUGUUUUAUUUAUCGCCUUUGUUGUUCAUCUGAAAGGACGUAGACAGCAUGUGAUAAUCAUUACAGAUUGUAGGACCCCCAUGACCCUGAAGAAUAAGACCUUCGAAGAUGGAUGGAUGGAUGGAUGGAUGGAUCGAUGGAUUCAGGGGUGUUGUAAAGGGGAGAGGCUUAGGAUGACUCCAGGCACCAGUGCAACAUAGUUGGAUUGGUCUGGGUUGGGGUCUUGAGUAAAAGUAGAUAUUUCGUACUAGGAAUUUGAGUCCUUACCCCUCUCACACCCCAAACCAUUACAAUCACUAGCCACCCUACAAAUGCUCCCCACCACACAAAAAACCUUUAUUAAAAGCCCAACUUCAUGUGAAUUGUCCCAAAAGAAUCAGGUCCAUCAGAACCAAGUUUUGCUUUGAUUUGCCUCAAAGUAAAAUACACAGGGAAGUUUGAAAAAGAUUUGUUAAACACUUUGAGAGUUAUUGUAUCCAACGCGAGGAUGGAUCCCGACCUCUCACCACUGCUACGCCCCAGCAUCUGCUCUCACCUUAAAUGUAACAGUGGUUGGUUUCGGAUUGACUGUCUGCUCUUGCUAUAUUAACCACCUUAGCAGUUUCCCUCUUGUGAGGAACUGUUGACUCUUGUCUAGUUAUCGACUGUUACUUAUCCCUGUUUUUGUCUGAGUGCCUGAUUCCCCUCCAGUGCCCUCUGGGAGUCCCGAAGCAGCUGACAGGUACCAGCAGGCCAAGUGGAAUGUGGCUCAAGCAGUUGCUGAAGCGAAGCUUGGGUAUGGGGGGAGUUUGGCGAGGCCAUUAGAAAUUACUUUCCAUCAGCCGCAAAAAGAUUCCAAGUAUAUACUGUAUCACUGCAGCUGGGAGCCAAAUGUUGAGUGGGAGGGGCAGUGUCAUGCGGGAGGGGUUUAUCACAAGGGGUAGGGGGGUGUAUAACAAGGGUUAGGGUUACAGUAUCAGAUGAUAACAGGACCCUCGUCAUAAACCCCUUCCACGUUGCCACAACUCCUGGCUGCAACAAUAUGCCUCUCAAAGAGUCUGGAACACAGUCAGCUGAUUCAGGAAGGGGAAGCAGAGCUUUACACAUGCUGUUUACAGGGUGGGGUAGAAUUGUUGACCUCAAAUGGGGAUAUAGUCAGGCGGUGGAAGGAGUAUUUUAAGGAUCUGCUGAGCUCCACUGAUAUGCCUUCCUGGAGGAAGUAGAGCUGGAAGACUCAGAGAGGGACCCAUCAUAGGGGCUGAGGUCACUGAAGUGGUAAGACUCGCUGUGCCUUUGGAUUGGCAGACUGGGAUGGUGGUACCAAUCUUUAAGAAACGGGACCAGAGGAUGUAUCACAACUUCGGGGGAUGUCACUCCUCAGCCUCCUGGGAAGGUCUAUGACGGGGUACUGGUCCCCGGAGUGGAACCUCAGAUCCAGGAGGAGCAAUGUGGGUUCCUUCCUGGUCGUGGAACACUGGAUCACCUCUUCACCCUCACUGGAGGAUUCAUGGCAGUUUGCCCAACCAGUCUACAUGUGUUUUGUACAGACUUUUGUGGGGCGGGGGGGGAGGGGGGGGGUCAGAGGUGCUUUACAGGAUUAUGAGGUACAAGCCAUGAGGUACAGUACAAGCCAUGAGGUACAGUACAAGCCAUCGGGUGCUUGUAUAAACGGAGCAAAAGUUGAGUUCGUUUUUUCAGCAGCAGUGUUAUGCAAAUUACAAAAAAUUAGUUAUAGUUACUAGUUAUUUUAUUCAAAAUGAAUUAAAUAAAUUUACCAAUUAAUGCAUGUAAAAGUAAUUAGUUACUAGGGUAAGUUACUUUUGCAUUACUCUAAUUCUCUUAUGGGGCGGCAUGGUGGUGCAGUGGUUAGCACUGUUGCCUCACACCUCCGGGACGCGGGUUCGAGUCUCUGCCUGGGUCACAUGUGUGUGGAGUUUGCAUGUUCUCCCCAUGUCGUCGUGGUCCGGGUACUCCGGUUUCCCCCCACAGUCCAAAAACAUGCUGAGACUAAUUGGUGUUGCUAAAUUGCCCGUAGGUGUGCAUGUGUGAGUGAAUGGUGUGUGAGUGUGCCCUGCGAUGGGCUGGCCCCCCAUCAUGGGUUGUUCCCUGCCUCAUGCCCAUUGCUUCCGGGAUAGGCUCCGGACCCCCCGCGACCCAGUAGGAUAAACGGUUUGGAAAUUGGAUGGAUGGAUAGUUCUCUUAUUAAUGCCUACAACACACAUUUGUCAGCAAAACACUCAUUUAAGAUCGAAACCUCAUUAAAUGAUCACGUUCCAGUUAGGGCAUUUAAAAAUAUUUAAACGAUUACAUAAGAUAAUGUGUGUUUUGGCAAACACAUUUUUUUUUCUAUAACUUUGCUUUAAUCAGUUCAGCAUAACUAUUGUGACUCUUUCUGUCAUAUUGUCAAUAUUUAAAGUAAGAAAUGUACAACUUUUAAUCAGUUAAACUGUUUGUGUGGUAUAUGGUUUUAAAGACUAUGCCAACAUGCUGGGUAAGCUGAAGAAAUCUACCCUACAGGAUACAAAUAUGUGCUGUAUAAACCCAUUGGGUAUUAUAUAGCAUAAUUGGGAAAAAUUAUAGUAGGCUAAAUGUUGCAUACUGAUCUCAUUAACAUGGUGUUGCUGUUGAAAUACAUUACACAACCAUCAGGGAAAUGUCGAAUCAGUAUUCAGUAGUGAUGUCUCUGCGACAUAGAGAUGCCGAUGGAUUUGCCAGCAUCGUGGCAACAACGUGUCAAUGCAUGUGUGUUGUUUGGGUAGGUAUAUUAUUUUAGUGUUGCUGCUGUGACAGUGGGAGACAAUUCAACUGUCAGACUGUACCUAAUAUCACCAAUUCAUCUGUGCUGUCGUAAGGUUGGAUGACACUAGAUCAGUAACAGAAUCUUUGGGGAAUUAUUUUUAUGCAAGAUAAAUGUAACAAGUAACGAGCCAGUUUAAAUUUCAGUACUUUUAAUUGCAUUUCAGGCAGGUCCAAUAAUGUACAUGUAAUUCAUCACAACACACCCUUGUAUAGCGCCUUGGGGUGACUCUGUUGUGAAAAGCACUAUAUAAAAGUAAAAUGAAAUGAAUGGAA